rnacentral:ncRNA from 1 species
UGGUCUACAGGUUUCAUAACUACUCCGCAUAUCAAUAAGAUGAGGAAAAGAAACUUACAAGGAUUCCCUUAGUAACUGCGAAUUAACCAGGAACAGCCCAGCCUUAGAAUCGGUCGGCUCCGUCGUGUGAAUUGUAGUCUGGAGAAGCGUCCGCAGUGGCAGACCGGGCCCAAGUUCCAUGGAAGGGGGCGCCAGAGACGGAGAGAGCCCCAUUGUGCUCGGACCCUGUCGCACCACGAGGCAGUGUCUACGAGUUGAGUUGUUUGGGAAUGCAGCCCAAAUCGGGCGGUGAAUUCCGUCCAAGGCUAAAUACGGGCGAGAGACCCAUAGCAAACAAGUACCGCGAGGGAAAGAUGAAAAGGAAAUUGAAAAUAGAGUCAAAGAGUGCUUGAAAUUGUCGGGAGAGAAGCGGAUGGGGGCCGGCGAUGUGCCCUGGUCGGAUGUGGAACGGUGAAGAGCCUGUCCGCCGAUCGACUUGGGGUGUGGAUCAGCGUGGAUUGGGGGGGCGACCAAAGCCCAGGCUCUCGAAAUGCCCUUGGAAAGCGGUUUCCUUGAUUAUGAUAUCCAGUGCACGCCUCUUGCGUUCUUCGUCAUCUGCUCGCUCUGGACGCUGGCUUGUGGGCUCCCCAUUCUACCCGUAUUGAAACAUGGACCAAGAAGUCUGACAUGUGUGCGACUCAACGGGCGAGUAAACCCGUAAGGUAUAAGGAAGCUGAGUGGUGGCAUCCCCCUGAGGGGUGCACCGCCGAUCGACCUUGAUCUUCUGAGAAGGGUUCGAGUGUGAGCAUACCUAUCGAGACUCGAAAGAUGGUGAACUAUGGCUGAGCGGGGCAAAGACAGAAGAAACUCUGGUGGAGGCCCGCAGCGAUACUGACGUGGAAAUCGUUUGUCUUACUUGGGUAUAGGGGCGAAAGACUAAUCGAACCGUCUAGUAGUUGGUUCCCUCUGAAGUUUCCCUCCGGAUAGGUGGAGCUCGCGUGCGUGUACUAUCAGGUAAAGCCAAUGAUUAGAGGCCUCGGGUGCGCAACGCCCUCGACCUAUUCUCAAACUUUAAAUAGGUAGGACGGCACGACUGCUUUGUCUAGCCGCGCAACGGAAUCAAGAGCUCCAAGUUGGCCAUUUUUAGUAAGCAGAACUCGCAAUGCGGGAUGAACCGGAAGACGGGUUACGGUGCCAAACUACGCGCUAACCUAGAUCCCACAAAGGGUGUUGGUCGAUUAAGACAGGACGGUGGUCAUGGAUUGAAAAUCCGCUAAAGGAGUGUGUAAACAACUCACCUGCCGAAUCAACUAACCCCGAAAAUGGAUGGCGCUUAAGCGCACGACCUACACCCGACCGUCGGGGAAAGUGCCAGGCCCCGAUGGUUAGGAGGGCUCGGCAGUUGCUGCAAAAACUUGAGCGUGAGCCUGGGUGGAGCGGCCGUCGGUGCAGAUUUUUGGUGGUAAGUAGCAAAUAUUCAAAUUGAGAACUUUAAAGGCCGAAAAGGGGAAAGGCCGACGU